rnacentral:rRNA from 1 species
GACGGACGCUGGCGGCGCGCCUAACACAUGCAAGUCGAACGGAGUCAAGAGGAGCUUGCUUUUCUUGACUUAGUGGCGAACGGGUGAGUAACGCGUGAGUAACCUGCCCUGGAGUGGGGGACAACAGUUGGAAACGACUGCUAAUACCGCAUAAGCCCACGGAUCCGCAUGGAUCUGCGGGAAAAGGAUUUAUUCGCUUCAGGAUGGACUCGCGUCCAAUUAGCUAGUUGGUGAGGUAACGGCCCACCAAGGCGACGAUUGGUAGCCGGACUGAGAGGUUGAACGGCCACAUUGGGACUGAGACACGGCCCAGACUCCUACGGGAGGCAGCAGUGGGGGAUAUUGCACAAUGGGGGAAACCCUGAUGCAGCGACGCCGCGUGGAGGAAGAAGGUUUUCGGAUUGUAAACUCCUGUCGUUAGGGACGAUAAUGACGGUACCUAACAAGAAAGCACCGGCUAACUACGUG